rnacentral:rRNA from 1 species
AUUGAACGCUGGCGGCAUGCCUUACACAUGCAAGUCGAACGGUAACAGGUUAAGCUGACGAGUGGCGAACGGGUGAGUAAUGUAUCGGAACGUGCCCAGUCGUGGGGGAUAACUACUCGAAAGAGUGGCUAAUACCGCAUACGACCUGAGGGUGAAAGCGGGGGACCGUAAGGCCUCGCGCGAUUGGAGCGGCCGAGAUCAGAUUAACUAGUUGGUGGGGUAAAGCCCACCAAGGCGACGAUCUGUAGCUGGUCUGAGAGGACGACCAGCCAACAUGGAACUGAGACACGGCCCAGACUCCUACGGGAGGCAGCAGUGGGGAAUUGUGGACAAUGGACGCAAGUCUGAUCCAGCCAUGCCGCGUGCGGGAAGAAGGCCUUCGGGUUGUAAACCGCUUUUGUCAGGGAAGAAACGAGUUUCUCUAAUACAGAGACUUAAUGACGGUACCUGAAGAAUAAGCACCGGCUAACUACGUGCCAGCCGCCGCGGUAAUAC